ACCAGACUCCUACGGGAGGCAGCAGUGGGGGAUAUUGCACAAUGGGGGAAACCCUGAUGCAGCAACGCCGCGUGAGUGAAGAAGUAUUUCGGUAUGUAAAGCUCUAUCAGCAGGGAAGAGAAUGACGGUACCUGACUAAGAAGCCCCGGCUAACUACGUGCCAGCAGCCGCGGUAAUACGUAGGGGGCGAGCGUUAUCCGGAUUUACUGGGUGUAAAGGGAGCGUAGACGGCUGGUCAAGUCUGAAGUGAAAGCCCGGGGCUUAACCCCGGAACGGCUUUGGAAACUGAGCAGCUAGAGUGCUGGAGAGGUAAGCGGAAUUCCUAGUGUAGCGGUGAAAUGCGUAGAUAUUAGGAGGAACACCAGUGGCGAAGGCGGCUUACUGGACAGUAACUGACGUUGAGGCUCGAAAGCGUGGGGAGCAAACAGGAUUAGAUACCCUCGUA
rnacentral:rRNA from 1 species